ACCGUGCUGCUAUGAUGGCGCACGAUCAAACUAGUUUCAAGCCGUAGUCACUAUGAAUACCCCGUUUAAAGAGGUUCAAACAUGAUUGAAGCUGUUAUGACUAUGAAUACCUGGAAU